GGAAUUGUUCGCAAUGGGCGCAAGCCUGACGACGCAACGCCGCGUGGAGGAUGAAGAUCUUCGGGUCGUAAACUCCUGUCGAGCGGGAAGAAACCCGACGGGGCUAACAUCCCCUGCGGUUGACGGUACCGCUAAAGGAAGCCCCGGCUAACUCCGUGCCCGCAGCCGCGGUAAUACGGGGGGGGCAAGCGUUGUUCGGAAUUACUGGGCGUAAAGGGCUCGUAGGCGGCCAACUAAGUCGGAUGUGAAAUCCCCAGGCUCAACCUGGGAACUGCAUCCGAUACUGGAUGGAUUGAAUCCGGGAGAGGGAUGCAGAAUUCCAGGUGUAGCGGUGAAAUGCGUAGAUAUCUGGAGGAAUACCGGUGGCGAAGGAGGCAUCCUGGACCGGCAUUGACGCUGAGGAGCGAAAGCCAGGGGAGCAA
rnacentral:rRNA from 1 species